AAGCCGAGCACACCAGAAGGACAAGUUCUCCAACCUUGCUCGGAGGAAGGUUCACUCAUGUGCCAGGGACGAGGUUCCAGCCCCGGUCCGGAGUGGUCCACCAUGCUCCAUCCUCUCCUCCACCAACCUGCCCUUACCUCCCUACCCGGCAGUACGCUGCGCUGUGCCAGCUGACAAGGGGGGCUGCAUUGUUCC